rnacentral:rRNA from 1 species
CAGUAGCGAACGGGUGAGUAACGCGUGAGGACCUGCCCUGAGGAGGGGGACAGCAGUUGGAAACGGCUGGUGAUACCCCGUAUGCCGGGAGGUGAAAGGGCCUUUAUGGUCUGCCUUUGGAUGGACUCACGUCCUAUCAGCUAGUUGGUGAGGUAACGGCUCACCAAGGCGACGACGGGUAGCCGGCCUGAGAGGGUGUCCGGCCACACUGGAACUGAGACACGGUCCACACUCCUACGGGAGGCAGCAGUGGGGAAUUUUGGGCAAUGGGGGACACCCUGACCCAGCGACGCCGCGUGAGGGAAGAAGGCCUUAGGGUCGUAAACUUCUUUUGCAUGGGAAGAUAAUGACGGUACUGUGCGAAUAAGUCCCGGCUAACUACGUGCCAGCAGCCGCGGUAACACGUAGGGGACGAGCGUUGUCCGGAAUUACUGGGCGUAAAGGGCGCGCAGGCUGUGCGCCGAGUCGGCUGUUGAAAGGCGGGGCUCAACCCUGUCAAGCGGUCGAGACCGGCGUGCUGGAGAGCUGCAGAGGCAAGCGGAAUUCCCGGUGUAGCGGUGAAAUGCGUAGAUAUCGGGAGGAACAUCGGUGGCGAAGGCGGCUUGCUGGGCAGUGACUGACGCUGAGGCGCGAGAGCCAGGGUAGCGAACGGGAUUAGAGACUCCGGUAGUCCUAGCCCUAAACGAUGCAGACUAGGCGUCGGCGGUUUAAUCACCGUCGGUGUCCAAGCUAACGCGAUAAGUCUGCCGCCUGAGGACUACGGCCGCAAGGCUAAAACUCAAAGGAAUUGACGGGUCCCCGCACAAGCAGCGGAGCGUGUGGUUUAAUUCGAUGCUCCGCGAAGAACCUUACCUGGGUUUGACAUAACAGUGGUAGAGAAGUGAAAACGGAUCGACCCUUCGGGGAGCUGUUACAGGUGUUGCAUGCCUGUCGUCAGCUCGUGUCGUGAGAUGUUCGGUUAAGUCCGCUAACGAGCGCAACCCGCGCUGUGUGUUACAAGUGUCACACAGUACCGCCGGUAUUAAGUCGGAGGAAGGUGCGGAUGACGUCAAGUCAGCAUGACCUUUAUAUCCAGGGCUACACACACGCUACAAUGGUCAGAACAAUAGGUUGCCAAGCCGCAAGGCGGAGCCAAUCCUCCAAAUCUGGCCUCAGUUCAGAUUGCAGGCUGCAACUCGCCUGCAUGAAGUCGGAGUUGCUAGUAACCGCAGGUCAGCAUACUGCGGUGAAUACGUUCCCGGGGAUUGUACACACCGCCCGUCAAG